AACGUAGGUGGCAAGCGUUAUCCGGAUUUACUGGGCGUAAAGCGUGUGCAGGCGGGAGAACAAGUGGGGUAUGAAAUGGCUCGGCUCAACCGGGCGAGGUUAUGCCAGACUGUUCUUCUAGAGUGCGAGAGAGGGGCAUGGAAUUCCGGGUGUAGUGGUGAAAUUCGUAGAUAUUCGGAAGAACACCAGUGGCGAAGGCGACUCGCUGGACAGACAUUGACGCUGAGGUGCGAAAGCGUGGGGAGCAAACAGG
rnacentral:rRNA from 1 species